GAGGGGCUCGCGGCCUAUCAGCUAGUUGGUGAGGUAACGGCUCACCAAGGCGACGACGGGUAGCUGGUCUGAGAGGACGACCAGCCACACGGGGACUGAGACACGGCCCCGACUCCUACGGGAGGCAGCAGUGGGGAAUUUUCCGCAAUGGGCGAAAGCCUGACGGAGUGACGCCGCGUGGGGGACGAAGGCCUUCGGGACGUAAACCCCUGUCAGAGGGAAAGAAGGGUUCGGGCGUGAAUAGCGCUCGGAUCUGACGGUACCUUCAGAGGAAGCCCCGGCCAACUCUGUGCCAGCAGCCGCGGUAAGACAGAGGGGGCAAGCGUUGCUCGGAAUCACUGGGCGUAAAGGGCGCGUAGGCGGGAUGGCAAGUCGGUCGUGAAAUCCCUCGGCUCAACUGAGGGGGGUCGGCCGAUACUGCCGUUCUUGAGGGAUGCAGAGGAGACUGGAAUUCCCGGUGUAGCGGUGAAAUGUGUAGAGAUCGGGAGG
rnacentral:rRNA from 1 species